ACGGGUGAGUAACGCGUGGGAAUCUACCGUACCCUACGGAAUAGCUCUGGGAAACUGGAAGUAAUACCGUAUACGCCCUAACGGGGAAAGAUUUAUCGGGGUAUGAUGAGCCCGCGUUGGAUUAGCUAGUUGGUGGGGUAAAGGCCUACCAAGGCGACGAUCCAUAGCUGGUCUGAGAGGAUGAUCAGCCACAUUGGGACUGAGACACGGCCCAAACUCCUACGGGAGGCAGCAGUGGGGAAUAUUGGACAAUGGGGGCAACCCUGAUCCAGCCAUGCCGCGUGAGUGAUGAAGGUCUUAGGAUUGUAAAGCUCUUUCAACGGUGAAGAUAAUGACGGUAACCGUAGAAGAAGCCCCGGCUAACUUCGUGCCAGCAGCCGCGGUAAUGCGAAGGGGGCUAGCGUUGUUCGGAAUUACUGGGCGUAAAGCGCACGUAGGCGGGUAUUUAAGUCAGGGGUGAAAUCCCGCAGCUCAACUGCGGAACUGCCUUUGAUACUGGGUAUCUUGAGUAUGGAAGAGGUAAGUGGAAUUGCGAGUGUAGAGGUGAAAUUCGUAGA
rnacentral:rRNA from 1 species